rnacentral:rRNA from 1 species
GAUGAACGCUGGCGGCAUGCCUAACACAUGCAAGUCGAGCGAACGGACGAGAGGCUUGCUUCUCUGAUGUUAGCGGCGCACGGGCGAGUUACACGUGGAUACCCUACCUAUAAGACUGGGAUAACUCCGGGAAACCGGCGCUAACACCGGCUAAUAUUUUCUACCGAACGGUUCAAACUUGAAAGCGGGUCUUGCUGUAAAUCAUUGAUUGAUCCGCGGUGCAUUAGCUAGUUGGUAAGGUAACGGCGUACCAAGGCAACGAUGAAUAGCUAACCUGAGAGGAUGAUCAGCCACACUGGAACUGAGACACGGUCCAGACUCCUACGGGAGGCAGCAGUAGGGAAUCUUGGGCAAGGGGCGAAAGCCUGACGGAGCAACGCCGCGUGAGUGAUGAAGGUCUUCGGGUCGUAAAACACUGUUAUUAGGGAAGAACAUAUGUGUAAGUAGAUGGGCACAUCAUGACGUUACCUGAUGAAGAAGCCACGGCUAACUACGUG